rnacentral:rRNA from 1 species
GGGGGAUAUUGCGCAAUGGGGGCAACCCUGACGCAGCAACGCCGCGUGAAGGAUGAAGGUUUUCGGAUUGUAAACUUCUUUUAUUAAGGACGAAAAAUGACGGUACUUAAUGAAUAAGCUCCGGCUAACUACGUGCCAGCAGCCGCGGUAAUACGUAGGGAGCAAGCGUUGUCCGGAUUUACUGGGUGUAAAGGGUGCGUAGGCGGCUUUGCAAGUCAGAUGUGAAAUCUAUGGGCUCAACCCAUAAACUGCAUUUGAAACUGUAGAGCUUGAGUGAAGUAGAGGCAGGCGGAAUUCCCCGUGUAGCGGUGAAAUGCGUAGAGAUGGGGAGGAACACCAGUGGCGAAGGCGGCCUGCUGGGCUUUAACUGACGCUGAGGCACGAAAGCGUGGGUAGCAAACAGGAUUAGAUACCCUGGUAGUCCACGCCGUAAACGAUGGAUACUAGGCGUGGGAGGUAUUGACCCCUUCCGUGCCGCAGUUAACACAAUAAGUAUCCCACCUGGGGAGUACGGCCGCAAGGUUGAAACUCAAAGGAAUUGACGGGGGCCCGCACAAGCAGUGGAGUAUGUGGUUUAAUUCGAAGCAACGCGAAGAACCUUACCAGGUCUUGACAUCCCGAUGACCGCCUUAGAGAUAAGGCUUUUCUUCGGAACAUCGGUGACAGGUGGUGCAUGGUUGUCGUCAGCUCGUGUCGUGAGAUGUUGGGUUAAGUCCCGCAACGAGCGCAACCCUUACGGUUAGUUGAUACGCAAGAUCACUCUAGCCGGACUGCCGUUGACAAAACGGAGGAAGGUGGGGACGACGUCAAAUCAUCAUGCCCCUUAUGACCUGGGCUACACACGUACUACAAUGGCAGUCAUACAGAGGGAAGCAAAACCGCGAGGUGGAGCAAAUCCCUAAAAGCUGUCCCAGUUCAGAUUGCAGGCUGCAACCCGCCUGCAUGAAGUCGGAAUUGCUAGUAAUCGCGGAUCAGCAUGCCGCGGUGAAUACGUUCCCG